rnacentral:rRNA from 1 species
GACGAACGCUGGCGGCGUGCUUAACACAUGCAAGUCGAACGGUGAAGCGCCUUCCUUUUUGGUGGGUGUGGAUGAGUGGCGAACGGGUGAGUAACACGUGAGUAACCUGCCCCCUUCUUCUGGAUAACCGCAUGAAAGUGUGGCUAAUACGGGAUAUUCUGGGUCUGUCGCAUGAUGGGUCUGGGAAAGAUAUUGUUUCGGUGGGGGAUGGGCUCGCGGCCUAUCAGCUUGUUGGUGGGGUGAUGGCCUACCAAGGCGGUGACGGGUAGCCGGCCUGAGAGGGUGGACGGUCACACUGGGACUGAGACACGGCCCAGACUCCUACGGGAGGCAGCAGUGGGGAAUAUUGCACAAUGGGCGCAAGCCUGAUGCGGCGACGCCGCGUGAGGGAUGGAGGCCUGCGGGUUGUGAACCUCUUUCGCCAGUGAAGCAGGCCUGCCUCGUUUGUGGGUGGGUUGACGGUAGCUGGAUAAGAAGCGCCGGCUAACUACGUG